CCGAAUUCCAUGAGAGGGAGGAGGAGAAAAUAAAUCUCUUUUUUUUCUUUUAAACCUAUUUCAAAUUUAAUUUUGAAAUCUGUUUGAAACAUAUUUUUGAACCUUAGUCAAAACCACUCAUUACAAUAAAUCAAAUGCAAAGACAUGAAUGCUCAAACAAGUUACUAGCACCUAUGGUAAAUUUUAAUUUAAAGAAAAAUAUUAUUUUUCCUAUAUUUUAUGAGCACAAAAAUACACAAUUAAAACCAUUUCUCCUAUUUUGGAAACUUGCAAAUUUUAGGGUGUUACAAUUCUACCCCCCUUAAAAUGAAUCUCGUCCUCGAGAUUCGGUUGGUGCUUACUCAAACCACUGCGGGUGUGUUUUUCUUAGAUCCUCUUCUCUAUUACAAACAGCCUCCUCUUCGGUGCACUGAUUCCACUGGACUUUGUACAUCCUGAAAACCCAACUCCUGGUCACCAUUUUCUAUUGUUUCCCAAAUUUCUUACCAGGUACUCUUGUAUGUGAAAUCUAAUUUAACAGUCAAUUCUUCUAACGAUAUCUGCUCUUAUGACACACACAAGUACUUCUUAAGUUGAGGCACAUGGAAGACAUCAUACACUCCUUCUGAACUUUCAGGUAGCUCUAUUUGGUAAGCCACUUUGUUCCAUAUCUCCUACAUCUUGAAAGGCCCGACAUAUCUUGGUGCUAACUUUUCCUUUCUUAUUGAACCUCCACACACUUCUCUUAGGUGACACCUCAAAAUACACGUAGUUUCCCACUUCAAACUAAUUCUCUUCUGAGGUGUUAGCAUAACUCUUAUGUAGAGACUGUGCCACCCUCAGAUUAUCUCUGACCACUCUCAAUUGAUGUUCUGCAUCACUUAGAACUUCUAGCCCAAACACUGGUGUUCUCCCGUUUGAUUCCAAAUCAACAGGGUUCUACACUUACAUCCAUACCAGCUUUCAAAAGCCUCCCACUGAAGGCCCUUCUACUCACUGUUGUUCUAAGAAAACUUCACAUACGGUAAACUUUUUGCACCAUACCGUAAUACACAAGCUCACAACAUAUCUUCUAAGUAAUCUUUGUAGUUCCUGUGGUUCCCAAAUGAGUAAUUAGUAGAGCUCAUUUGGCAGUACCAGUGACAUCACUCUAGUUCAACACUCAACUCCUCAAACCUUGGUGUUAUUUGAACUCCUCUAGCACACUUUUUAUGCUUUGAGCAUUCUCAAAGGCUUUUUCUCAUUCCAGUGAUAUCACUUUUCCUAGUCAUAACUCUUGACUCACUCAAAUCCAUCAAUGAUGUGACCAGCCCAAAUCCAUCUUCCUAAAGAUGCCCUUUAGAUUCCUACAUUCUACAUAGAUAUCACUCUUAUAUCCAAGAAGAUAGUAUCUCCAUGAUGCACUAUGGAUACCUCCCCAUCAUGUGUUGGGCGGUCCAACUUACUUAGUCAACUUAUGCAUAGGCCACUAAUUUUCUUGUAUGGGGCACAUCUAAGGUCUUGAUGGAAUAAACAAACUCUAUUUGCCAAUCCUUGCUACACCUUCAGUGAACCACUGAUAGAAUCUUAUCAUUCCAAGUCAAUCUGUUAUUUACUCUUAUGUCAAGAUCACAUUGGCCCCAGCAAACCUAUGAUAGCCUCUUGCCAUAUUUAUAAAAAUCUAAGUCUCAUUCACUUUCCUUUGGUGGUUUCCGACUCUUGUAUCUUUAACUUUCUUAAGUCCAUCAUUAAAGACGACAUCUCCUAGACGAGAACUUCCAUCAACUAGAACAUACUGGUCAUGCUCUCUUUAGCAGUGAAGUCUUUUGAGUCUCUGUAGAGUCAACAGUACAUGUAGCAUAUCCACUUCCUAAGUUGUCAAGUGACCAAUUUCACUAACUUGAGCUAGGAUAGAUGAUUAUAUUCAUGGGAUAUCUCCAGAGACAACUUCUCACUUCAUGAUAAAUUGAAAGGGCCUUAACCAAUAAUGUCAAGGUACUACCCCCCUUAAAAGGAGAUAGGUAGGGGGACAGUAUGGACUAGCUCUUCAUAUAUUGUCUAGAUGAUUCACAUCAUACGGUCUUUUAAAAUCACUGUACCAAGUCUCAUGAUCUAGAGUUGGUUUCAUCACUACGUUCCAACUAUUGGUACCUCUAACAGAGUUGAAUUGCUUUGCUCUCACAUCCCAUGUAUAACUUUGUAGACUUUGGUGUCACCUAAUUCUCAUAAGCACAACUUAAGCUAUGAGUACCAGCGAUGACCUAUAUCUCCAUCCAUAUUAGCACACUUCAAUGGAACUAUUUCUUGCAUCAAAAAUCAAAUUUACCAAACACUUGAGGUCCUUAUCGAUGAUCCAACAUUAACCAAUUCUUCUCCUUGUAACUCCUUUGAUAAGACUACCCCCCUUAGAAAAGGUAAACUAGGGCUUAAAUGGGUAGUUUGGUCCAUUUUUCAAGUGAGUUUCAGAUCUUCUAAUACCGAAGAGAAUCUCAUGUGCACUGAUAUGUACCAGAACUCUGAAAUUCCUCACGAUACGAGGACACCAGCGCAGCAAAAUAGGCAUAACUCCUUUUCUGUCAAUCCAAUAAGAUCUUAGCUUAUACCGUUAGAAACCUUAUCAAAUUCCCUACAACUUUCAUAUAGAAGGCUUCCUUAGUUUCUGUCAUUAAACCUAGGUAAAACAGCCAUACAUGAUAUCCAUCCCAACAAUAUCUCAGCAUCAGUGCAGCAACUUGCAGAAGUCAUAUCUCAAGUUACUUAGAUCAUAUGAGGACAAGCUUUACAUGAUUGAAAAGCUUAUGAAGUCCUCCGCAACUUCUGUGUACCUCACUUUUCCAGAUUCUGAUGUUAAGUUGGCUGAAAAUAGGAAUUAACUAGAACUGUCCAGAUUUUGAACUGUGUAGCAACAGCAACUUAUAGAUGUCAUAACUCAAGUUCUAUUAAUCCGAUAAAGUUGCAGCUUGCAUCGCUGGAAAGCUUAUCAAAAGACCUAAAACUUUCUUAUAGAACCUUUUCCCAAAUUCCAGAGUUACAUUUGUCCAAAACAGUAGGCAACUAAACUGGUCCAGAUUUUUGACAGCUCAAUGGUGCCAACUUGUGAUUUUCGUAAUUCCCAAACCACAACAGCUGUGGGGGUGAUUCUUGUGGUCAGAGAAGGAUCUUGAAGUCUACUAUUACCCAGAAAUUUUACAAGAUUUUAUGGUCCUCCAAGAAUUGAGAUUUAAACUAAAGAAGAUAAGUUGCUUCCAAAAGACAGGAUAGAGAAAACAAGAGAAACUAAAACCCGACUAUUUGUUCAAUUAAUCCUUAUACCUUAGGCCUGUAAACUAAAUGAAACUGUGAAGAAACCCACAAGAUCAUUGCACUCAUUACAAAAAUCCAACUCAAACAUAAGCACUAAGACAAACCAACCAAAAAUUAAAGGUUCACAAAGCACACAUAUUGACUAGACUCAACUUUUACUAUUAUCGUUUAUUACAAAGGGGGACUUCCUACUUCUUAAACACGGUGUGACUGCAGCGGCAUCCAGGGUAGCAUCUCUUGCAUGGAGUUAAGCGAGGUAUGUCCUCCACCUCAUUGAUCUUAAGUAAUCCACCACGACUUCUCCACUCAUCAAUCUCAUCAAGGGCUUCCUCAUAGUGUUGCCUUACUUCUGCCAAUUCGAGGUGACUGUCUUCUAGCUUUUGAUGCAUGACUUGGAUAGUCAAAGCCAUCUCCUUUAGUUGUUCAUUCUGCUCCAAGUAGGGGUCAGCCAUCACACAUUGCAAAGUGCCUGGUGGACGACGAGGAAGAUACUUUUGUUUGCCAUUCUUCCUCUCUUCGUAGUGCUUUCCAUGAUAUGCCAGAAGAGCUUGAUGGGCAGCAUCAGAUAUGCUAGCAUGCUUACUGAAGCGGUCACUGAGAGACGAAUGAAUGGAUUCCACCAGGCGUGAACCAGCUUCUGUGCUCCAGUGGCUCUCAUACUUAGGAUGAGUCCACUUAGUGCACUUAUAUUCCACCUUGGCUUGCUGUUCAGGAUAGUGGUUUUGUAGUAUACGCACAAGCCGAGGGUGAAAGAAAUCUUCGCCACUAAAGGAUGUGGUAAAGUACUCCUUCCGCCAACAAGUAUGUCUUGAUGGGACAGGGCGAACUUCUUCAUACUCUGGUUCCGUUAAUCCAUAGAUUCCCCGAGUCAAACAUGGUCUUCCAGAGUUGUUGCGAGCAAUCUUCUCGUUACGAACCAUCUAUGGAAUUAGACCAAGAGUGAGUUAGAAAAGAAGCAAUACUUUUAGAAUAGAAUUAGAUGAUAGAAGCAUAAGAAUUUUAGCAAAUAGCAAGGGUGAGAUAGUAAGCAUGAAUGUAGUGAAGCAAAGAUGACUAAAAUGACCAUUUCUAUCUAGGCUUGCGUCCUACAGUCAGCAUUGCUCUGAUACCACUUUGUAGCACCCGGUUUUAAGAACAAAACCAGAUACACACCAUAUGUGAGCCCAGGAAGUCAAAUCUCACAUAUAGCUACAAACAAGGGUAAUAUCAAUAGACAAUGCUUAUAUAUAACGAACUUAGUAUACAAGAUAUAACCUUAGAUAGCAAACAGCGGAAAGACACUCCGUUCUUCAGGCGAAAGCUCCAAAUCCACAGGGACAACUGACUGGUUGAGCACAAGCCUAAACUCUUCUCCAAACUAGCAAUCUGGUACCCAUCCGGGAUUUUUAUCCAAAUAAAAUAUAAAGGCAAGCGUAAGUACAUCUCGUACUCAGCAAGAAUAACAUAGGGUUCAUGAGGCUCAAAGGCUAGACACUGGUUUAACUGCAUGUAGCUUUUAGUUGUCACAAUUUUAGCAUUUGAGUAGCAUCAAGUUGUCGAGUCCCAAAGCAAACUCAUGAUCAAGUAAAGUGAAUAAAGAAUAGCAUAAACAACAUAUUAACAAUAAUAACAUUAAUGAUUUGCCAUUAGUGAUCAUUUAUUCUGUAUUGGUCUAAGGCCGCUCGUGACCGUGAGCACGGCUGAUAUAUCAGUUUUACACUCUGCAGAGGUUCUACACUUUCAUUGUGAGUCGUGAUUUACCCUUUCGCUCGAGGUCGCGAGCCUCUUCACCCCCUUCCUAAGAAGGCCGGCAGGGUUCACUAUGAAUUCUUUCAAAGGUUCGUCUAACAAGUUAGGGCCGCUAGGUUUCGUUAGUCAGUCCAUGUGACUCACCCGCGGGAAUCCAUGGUCUGCUAUCCCCCACUUGCGCCACAAGGGUAACCACUAACAAGCUAGAAAAGGUCCUCAUACUGAGCUAAAGCCAGAGCCAUGUAGCCCUCACAGUUGUACUGUAUGUCCCGGAUGGUCAGAUACAGAUAAGUCCUUAUGGAGAGAAACUAUAGCACCAUAAGAUAGCCCAAUGCCCCAGCCCUCUUUACCAAAGUUGCUAAAAAAAUCCUCUUUUAAUGUUUAUUGCAUAUUCCAUUAAUCAAAUUACAAGAUCAUGGUUUAGUAGAGCACUAGCAUAAGCUACCCAAUGCAAAACCAUAGGUGACAAGGUACAAGAUCAAUACUAGGAAAUCCUUAUCAAGGAGACACAUGCAAUAUGAAUUAAGUGAUUAAAGUUAUUAGGAAACAAGGAUGAUCCCAUGCUAUACUUGCCUUGAAACUCAGAUCCUUCUUUUAGUUCGAAACCUUCCACAAACUGCUUCUUGAUCACCACGUAAAAGCUCACCGUCUAAACUCAGUCAUCACAUCAACAACAAUCAUCCAGAGGCAAUUAUACAAAGCAAAACAAACUUAUAAUUAGAACAAUACACCAACAGUAGAAAAUAAAGAUGAAAAGUUUAUAAAACAAAUCUACAUCGCUCUACCAUCACACGGACGUAAAGAUCACGAAAAUCGGAGCUAUAACGAAGAAGUUAUGAUUUAAAUAAGAUUUCUUUUAAUAAAAUAAUAGAUUAAAUCUAAGUUCAGAUUUAUAAGGUUGGAAGCACGUAUAACAGAGCUACUAAUCUAUAGAUUAUGCAAAAACGAAUCUAACGCAAUUUGAACGGAUCAAAUCGGAGUUAAAACAAAGAAUAUAUGAAUUUUCUAAGAUUUUCUUUAGAAAAACAAUUAAUUAAUUUGGGUCACGGAAUUAAAAAGUUUCAACUGAGAAAACAGUGUUACUAACACGUAGAUAUUUUGAAUACAAAACCAACGCAAUUUGAACGAGUCAAAACGGAAUUAAGAUGAAUAUUUUAUGAGUAAAACAAAUCCAGUGGCAAUUUGGUAAUUUGCUGAAAACGUAUUUUUGAAUAAAACCAGGCUAUGAAAGCGUAUUUUGAAUCUGAGCGGACGGGAAUACGCUUUCAGAGUUAGGAAGCGUAUUCUGGAAAUCCGCAAAGGUCUGCGGGUUGACUCUUUAAAAACAUUGGGGUUUCUUUUGCAAAAGACGCGGCCGAAGGGGUAUCUUUUGAUUUGAGCCGUCGGAUCGGGGAUGGACGGCUGGAAUUAGAUUAGAGAGGGGAGGGGGAGGUUGGCCAGCCGGAGAUGGGGAAGGUCGCGGCGGCGCCAUGGCCGGAGUUGGCCGGCGUUGCUCAAUCGAGCGACUCAAAGCGCUAGAACGUGAACCAAAAACACCGGGACAUGGAGAAACUUACCGCGAGCUCACCUAGGGCUAAAACGGGGCUCGUGGAGCGGUCGGAGCGCGCUUGCGACGAAGGAAGGCGGACGGCGGCUUUUGCAAAAGAUCGGCGAGGGUCAGCCGUGCACAGAGAACACGAAAUCGCGAGCAAAGAGUCUCGGCGACUUCGCAAACUAGAAACGAGGCUCGGCAAGGUACUCACGGGCACGAAGAUGCGUCGCAGCGACGGUUUGCUUUCGGAACAGAUCUCGGCGACGUUCUAUGGCUCGGCUGCGGCAGCUGCUCGACCUAGAGUUGGGGCUGGGGGGUUUGGCGGAGCUGGGGCGCUAUUUAAGGCCCCCUCGGCGUGCGGGGCAAGCCAACCGCGAGGAUCACGCGCGACCGUUGCUCAACUCGGGCAGACUCCGGCUCCGUCACAAGGUGGAAGACGCGGCUGACCGGUGGGCCCCACCUGUCGGUGACUCAGGGCGCGGGCCCGCUCUGUUAGUGGAAGAAGAGAGGGGGUUGCUGGGCGCGGGGGAAAAAGCUGGGCCGCGGCUCCUGCGCGCCUUGGGCCGAGAAGAAGAAGAAAAAGGCAGGGAAGGAUCUGGGCCUUCGGGCCGAAUUCCAUGAGAGGGAGGAGGAGAAAAUAAAUCUCUUUUUUUUUCUUUUAAACCUAUUUCAAAUUUAAUUUUGAAAUCUGUUUGAAACAUAUUUUUGAACCUUAGUCAAAACCACUCAUUACAAUAAAUCAAAUGCAAAGACAUGAAUGCUCAAACAAGUUACUAGCACCUAUGGUAAAUUUUAAUUUAAAGAAAAAUAUUAUUUUUCCUAUAUUUUAUGAGCACAAAAAUACACAAUUAAAACCAUUUCUCCUAUUUUGGAAACUUGCAAAUUUUAGGGUGUUACAGAGCUUAGCACUGAGAACAAGGGAGGGCACGGAUGUGAGACAGCAUAUGAAAAAUAGAAAAGAACAAAAAAAAUCGAGCAGAGCACCAGGGCUAGUAGUCAGCCAUGAAUCCCUUUGGCAAGCGCUGCUCAGAGAGAGCUCACAGGGCGCCUGAAGGACCCUGUGCUGGUAGUGCUGCCGCAAGGCACUAAAAGCCACCGACGCUGCAAGAACAAAAACUCGAAGAGUAGGAGAACUGCAUGAUGCCCGAGAUGCACACCACUCGGCUAAAAAAAAACUUUCAGCCACACGAGCUUGCCUAGCUACCGAAAGAAGCUAGACGCUGCUAGUGCUCUCGGCCAGAUGCCAGUCUGCUGCUAGAACUCAAGAACAGAGAACCGACGAACACAAGAACAGAACAGAAGAAAGUACUGUCACAAAAUCGCCUAGAACUCUGAGAAAACAAGAGGAAUCGCUCCCAAAAUUUAGCCAGAUCAAAUUCAACCUGGCAUCAACUCAUGCCCAAGAAAUCAUCGCCUGGGAUCGACCCAAAACCCAGGAAAAUCAAAUCGUGACCAAAAACGAAAAAGGGGAAACUCAAGAAAACAGUAAGAACAAAAAUCACAGAUAAGAUUGAGGAAUCCCGAAGGACAACUGGAGGAUUUGGGCCUCCAUUCCUAUACCAAAUCUCAGCAGAAAAUUACACCAUAAAAGAUUCAGUUCAUAGAGAAAACUAAAAAAGAAAAAUCUACAGGAGACCUACGAGGGAGAGAGGGAGAGAGGUGGAGAGUGGUCAGAGAGAGGUGGGAUGGAUGAGGGAGAUGAGGGACUCCCCUGUUUAUUUAUCAGACGUAUUACACAACCCUCAAAUGCCCCUAGAUAUUUUUGAGCGAACUAGCUAGCCCCAGGGGCAUUCUAGUCCAACUCGACAUGACCUAAAUCCGACGGCCACCGCGCCUUCUCACCGGUAGCCUCGCUCCGAAGCGAUCUCACCGAUGCUGCCACGUGCCAUCCGUCCGCAUCGGGACCUCCGCCCGGGUUUUGAGGCCCAAACCCGCGAAACCCGCUGCGAAUAGCGUACUCCAUACGCUUUCUUGCCACUCGACACAUGUCACCACCGUCCUCG
rnacentral:lncRNA from 1 species